GGUGACCACCGCUCUAGAAAGUUGAGUGAAGUUUAAUCUACUGUUUCUCUCUGUGGGCUGAUAUUUCUGCAAGGCAGUCUCUGCGAGCUGCUCGACAGUCUCGGGGCUACUACGGGCACAGAGGGAACAUUGGUCGCGGGUUGAGCUGCUUUAAAACAACCUGUCAUCGGAGUAGGCCUAGAUUCAAUCAGAUCAAGCAUUAACCAGGAAUAGCAGACACCAGCAUUGCGGAUGUUUUGGCGGUGUUGGGGUGGAACUGCAUUGGAAGCUGUCAAAUUGAAGACCCUCAAUUUAUCACCGCCAGCUGUCCUGCCAGGUACCACAACGCUAAGUCCAUGCUGUCCUGGGAGAUGCAGCUUUCCCCCUACAUGAGAAAGUCAUAGCCCUUAUCCAGGUGUCCAUCUCAAUGAAUCUAGGCGUAGCUACAACUACCACCACUCUCGACGGAGAGUCAUAGAGAAUGCAUUUUGGCAUCAUGGGCGGCAAGGAGGAUGAGGAUUCUUGUUCGGCCAAUCAAGUGUACCCAUAACAGCGAGAAGUACAGUAGUGGUGCUGAGCGUGCUGCAGCAUCCCCUGAUAAAUCAGAAUAAUACAUUUCUAUUUAAAUCCUUUUUAAAUUAGAUUUUUUUUUUUUUCAAAUUGUUUCUUCUCACAAAAGUAGUGCACGUGACCUUUACUACUCUCCCUUUACAGUAGUCUCCCCCCCACAGAAGGAUGUGGCCUUCCACAACUACCUGUCCUCCAUGGAAGGCAUGUGGCCCACCACAACUACCUGUCCUCCAUGGAAGGCAUGUGGCCCACCACAACUACCUGUCCUCCAUGGAAGGCAUGUGGCCCACCACAACUACCUGUCCUCCAUGGAAGGCAUGUGGCCCACCACAACUACCUGUCCUCCAUGGAAGGCAUGUGGCCCACCACAACUACCUGUCCUCCAUGGAAGGCAUGUGGCCCACCACAACUACCUGUCCUCCAUGAAAGGCAUGUGGCCCACCACAACUACCUGUCCUCCAUGGAAGGCAUGUGGCCCACCACAACUACCUGUCCUCCAUGGAAGGCAUGUGGCCCACCACAACUACCUGUCCUCCAUGAAAGGCAUGUGGCCCACCACAACUACCUGUCCUCCAUGAAAGGCAUGUGGCCCACCACAACUACCUGUCCUCCAUGGAAGGCAUGUGGCCCACCACAACUACCUGUCCUCCAUGGAAGGCAUGUGGCCCACCACAACUACCGGUCCGCCAUGGAGGAAGCUCAUGGUCAGUAAAGGACAACAACCCAAGGCCAGCCGAUCAUGCACAACAGGCCUUUGUUUGGACUACUCAAACACAACCCUUGAUGCGCACUGUGAACCAAAGUACUUUGUACUAAAAUGUCAUUUUAAUCUUGUUAAUAAAAUAGAAUUUGAUUCUA